GUGUCAGCCGCCGCGGUAAUACGGAGGGUGCGAGCGUUGUCCGGAAUCACUGGGCGUAAAGGGCGCGUAGGCGGCGCGAGGAGUCGGGGGUGAAAGUCCGGGGCUCAACCCCGGAUCGGCCUUCGAUACUCUCGCGCUGGAGCACAGUAGAGGCGGGUGGAAUUCCGGGUGUAGCGGUGGAAUGCGUAGAGAUCCGGAAGAACACCGGUGGCGAAGGCGGCCCGCUGGGCUGUGGCUGACGCUGAGGCGCGACAGCGUGGGGAGCAAACAGGAUUAGAAACCCCCGUAGUCC
rnacentral:rRNA from 1 species